CAGACUCUCCCGUCGCUCCCUCUCCCCUUCCUCCUCCGCUCCCAGCCGCCGCCUCCGCUCCGCGCCCGCCCUCCGCGCCCCCGCUCCGCGCCUCCUCUCUCGUUCCCUGUGGCCUUACCCGCUCCACCCAAUCCCCUUCCACGCCUCCUCCUCCAAUCCCCUCAUGAGCCUCCUCUUCCAAUGGCAGCCGGCGACCGGGCGGAGGUUGGAGGUCGAAACAGCAGCACCAGGGACUUGGACCACCGGGAUGGAGGAAGCAGGCCAUAGCACAGCCGUCCAGCAGUGGGGAUUGAUGUGCGGAUGGCGGCUGCCUGGAGAGGAAGGGGAAGCGCAAGGCGUGGGAGACCGGUGCUGAACAGAUGAGCAUGGGCUGCUGAUGGGCUGAGCUUGGUUCGAAUCGAUACACCGCUCGCAGAUUCUAUUUAAUCUAUGCCUAUGAGGUGUUUGAUGGAACUACAAUCAGGACCAUGAAGAUGAUGUUGUGUUGCUUUCUACAUGUGAGCAAGAUAUUCAAGAAAGGUUUGCUGCACACAAGGACAUGAUCCAUUGAUACAAUCCAGCAUCGAUGAUUACAAGAGAAUGUUAAGGUUUCAGCUUAUGUUACAUAAAUCUCUUUUUCCUUUGUCUCAGAGGUCCAUUGGUAUUGGGCACCAUUUUUGCUCAUAUUUAUGUUGGCUACAGCUUUCCAUGUUUGUUUCGCAAAUUGUUGUCGUGUUCCGCUCUUGGUUUUGUUCCUUUUAUGUAAGGUUUCGUUAUGGCAGUCGUCUUUUUUUCCUUGCAAACUGUCUGACAUGAAACAUUGAAAAUGUACCGACUUUUUCCUCGCAUCACAUCAUGGUCAAAUAUUUGAAGUUCCUUUUCAUGGUGGAAGCACAACUUUAAUCUGCUAGACUAUUGCAGUUUUCGAAGAGAACGGAUUUCUAUUACAGAAUAUAAUUCGUGAGCUAUAAGUGUAGACCAUUUCAGAAGACUGAAUUUUUUUGUUGGGUCAAGGAAAUCGAUUGGCUGCACCCUGUAUAGAGCUUCCCGUAAUUUUGCAUAGGUCGCAAUCUUCCAAUACUAAUUAGCUACUACUAUAAAUUAUACUGCUCAUAUUAAGACGGAAAAGAUCUGAGCCUUCUAUUUUACUGGCACUUACUAUUUCUUCUAUGAGAUUUGUUUUCUUGGUAAGGCUGUACAAGAGUUGUCGGGUAUGCAUAGCUGCAUUCGUACUAGACAAGCCAAGUUAGUUAUUCUUUUGUUUUCCCCAUUUGAUGGAUUUGUAUUGGAAAAAUUCAUGCCUCAUUUGACAAAUCUGGAACAUCAGAUCCAUGAAUAUGCCCUCCUUGCUUUCACUGCCAGUGUCAAAUCAAUUAUCUUCUAUUGCAGUAAAGCAAGGUGAUAAAUCAUUAUAUGUACAUUUUCCGCUUCUCAGUUUGUAUAGUGAAGUCUUGGCGUAUUUAUUAUUUCUUAACAUGCUUCUGUAGCUAGGUUGUGCUGUUUAUUUUUCAGAAUUAUCACGCAAAGUAUGUUAGUUACGAUGGCAGGGUUUUGAUUUGAGGUUCUCUAAAUUUUAAAUGGUAGGAACACUGAGGUACUGGAGUGGCUAGCUAUUAAACUUUUACAUGUCAAAGCUCUUGCAGCUGCAGUCCAAGGUAAGGGGAGAAGCAGCAGGCAAUUCCUCCAUCCAUGAUUUGCUUCAGUCCAAUUACCUAGGGUGUUGGCAUGCAAGGACAGGGGUGACAAAAAGGGAAAGCAACUCAGCCAUCAAUGGCCAUGGUGCAUCUCUCUUCUCAAUUUCUAGAGAGAAACGUGAGGACGCCCAACCGUGGAGAAACACCACAACUCCAUGCUGAAGUGUCGCUCGGGUGCCUUUAUGAUGAAAUAUGUUUCUGCCAAGGCAUGUGGUCAGAGGACCACAACAACGUGUACGCACUGUUGCACGCCGUUGCCCACGUCCAGGGAGUGCAAGCACAUGGCAGCAAGAAGUUCUUAAACCACUAAAUAUGUCAACAUCAAACAUGAAGUUGAUCGAUGGGCUCCAGUUUUCAUCACUGUUUUUGCAUGGACACAUGAUGUGUAGCAUGAACUGGUACAAACUUUGGCCUAUGUUGACUGCUUUGGUCAGUUCAGUAAGUAGUUUUUGUCUUCCCCUUUUGCAGCAGAAAGUGAGCCCCUCACUCAACAGUUCUCCUCUAUUUUCAUUUACUUACCCCAUUUUUCGUAAUAUUAAUUGGUAGGCAUAGUAUCAUAGUUAUUAAUGGUUCCAUUCUUUUCAUAUCCCUUUUAUAUUCAUUUUCAUGCCCAUUUGUUGAUUUUUAUUUGUGUGCUUAUUUGCAAGAAGGAGCUGCAAGAGUAAAAUUGGAAACACGUACCUAUGUUCAGGCAUUUGUACUUUUUUCAGAAAAAUCAAGUUUUCUCUUACAUUCGUUGAUUAGAAAUAAAGUAAUGGUCUUGGUUUGAUAUUUUACUUAAACAGUUAAACCCUCCUGAGGAGGAGGGCUUGCAUAUUUAGGGAUAAAGUAAUGGUUUUUGUUUUUAUUCUCAUGGGUCAUGAAUCUGUAGGACUGAAUUCAUUCGGUUAGUGGCACCAAUUGUUUGAUCUAGAAAAUGAUUGAAUUUGGAGCUCCCGGUGAUUUCCUUCUCAAUCCAUCAAUAUAUGCAGUGGGACAUAGUUCCCAUUUGGUUAGGGAAGUUUUUGUGUAUGUUUAUUCAUAUGCAGUUCGUCUCUGUGCAUCUUCUCUUUAUGAUUGGUGUGCUCUUUACUAGAACUCUCUGUUUGGUUAUAUUGUUCAAUAAAAUUGUGAGAGGAAAAGAUAUUGCAUCAUCACUUUAUGAUUGGUAUGCUCUAAGUCUUGAUUGAUUGACUCACAUGAGCAUUGAUAUAGUUGCUCACCAAAGUAUGGUUGUAUUGUGCACUGUUCUGUUGAAUGUAUUGUUGCUUAAUUGAUUUUUGUUGGUAUUGUUUUGGAGCUCGCAACCGAUGCAUUUGACAUGUAUAAUCGAUAAAAUACCUACUUCUAUUGUAAUUCCAAGAUGCAGUCAGCCUACAUUUUGCACAACCAGAACACAAAUAUAUGUGACCUAUUCUAAACCACUCACUUAAUAGGCCUCAUGCAUUCGCAAUACCUUAACAAGAAUUAUUUUCCAGAUAUAAGUUUUUCACAAAGCUUGUUUGUUGUCACUGAUGUGGAAUGAUUACUUCGUUAGAUAUGUUUGCUGCAGUGAUAAAUGCCAACCCGGUGUACAUGUUUUUUCAGGCAACAUGUUUUUAUAUCGAUCUGCUUGAAUUUGGCUGUUAAUAUGUGCGUGGUAAAUCUAUCUGAAAAACUUUUUGUCAUUUUCCACUUCACAUUAGUCUAAAUCCACUAAUUUUGUUUGAUAUCAGGUGUAGAUACAACUGUUGCUUAGAUUGUGGAUUUGCAGUUUUGGAUGGUUUUUAGGCUAAUGACAGGGUGCGUUCAAGUUAAAUGAAAAAUAGCUGCCUUUAUUUAUCACUUCUAAAGCCACUCGUGUGUUUCUCUCUAAUACUUUUGCCCUUUAUUCCAACUGCAGUGUUUGCUGAUUCUGAAGAUGUACUUGUUCACUUGUUUUUUCGGAAGUCAUGAGCAUCACUUGGUAUUUAAUAACUGCAGUGAGAAAAACUCGUGAGUUUGAUGCCAACCAGCAAUAGCUGAAAGGUGCUGGGCCUUAUGUAUCCUGUGUGGCUGUCUCAACUACCUGAAAGCAAAGCUCCGAGUCAUCUUUCAGCAUAGCUCAUGGAUAGUUGUGAGCAUGUCAGAUUAUGCAAUGCAUGGAUUACGACAAUCUGGGCUGUUCUGUAUUAACAUUUCCAUGCCACGAAAACAACGUUUCUGGUUGCUAUGGUUGCCGCCCUGUGUGCAGGCUCAGCUGUCGUGUGGAAUGUGGGUCACGGCCAAAUAGAUUGGUUAUGAAACUGCUCCAAUCUGGUGGUGGACUGGAAGUUGAUCCUACUGCAGGAGAUUGGACUGUGCCUUGGAGCUGACUGUAGUAUGUAGUUUCAAUGCCUUGGAGCUGACUGCCUAUGUUUAGAAGACAGGGUCACACACCAAGCCGCACCCCAAAAUAGAUCGUUGUUUUUGUCACUCUUGAUUGUUUCUGUACUUCAUUUUGGAACUACUGAGUCAUGUGUGUUCUUCACUUGCCUCUUUUUCAUAAUAGAUUUAUCAUUGCAAAAGUUGGGGAAUGUGUGUCAAGGCGUGCCCUUAUCAUGUAUUUGGAUUGUAGAAUUUUUUGGGAUGUUGAAUAUAUGGUUGAACUGACAGAAAUAGAAAUCUCAAAAUGCACUUUUGCCUUA